CAGCCGCCGCGGGAAUACGCAGGUGGCAAGCGUUGUCCGGAAUUAUUGGGCGUAAAGGGCUCGCAGGCGGUUUCUUAAGUCUGAUGUGAAAGCCCCCGGCUCAACCGGGGAGGGUCAUUGGAAACUGGGAAACUUGAGUGCAGAAGAGGAGAGUGGAAUUCCACGUGUAGCGGUGAAAUGCGUAGAGGUGUGGAGGAACACCAGUGGCGAAGGCGACUCUCUGGUCUGUAACUGACGCUGAGGAGCGAAAGCGUGGGGAGCGAACAGGAUUAGAUACCCGCGUAGUCCCUGUCUCUUAUAC
rnacentral:rRNA from 1 species